CACGUAGUUAGCCGUCCCUUUCUGGUAAGAUACCGUCACAGUGUGAAUUUUCCACUCUCACACUCGUUCUUCUCUUACAACAGAGCUUUACGAUCCGAAAACCUUCUUCACUCACGCGGCGUUGCUCGGUCAGACUUCCGUCCAUUGCCGAAGAUUCCCUACUGCUGCCUCCCGUAGGAGUCUGGGCCGUGUCUCAGUCCCAGUGUGGCCGAUCACCCUCUCAGGUCGGCUAUGUAUCGUCGCCUUGGUGAGCCGUUACCCCACCAACUAGCUAAUACAACGCAGGUCCAUCUGGUAGUGGUGCAUUUGCACCUUUCAAUUAACUAUCAUGCAAUAGUCAAUGUUAUGCGGUAUUAGCUAUCGUUUCCAAUAGUUAUCCCCCGCUACCAGGCAGGUUACCUACGCGUUACUCACCCGUUCGCAACUCAUCCAGAAGAGCAAGCUCUCCCUUCAGCGUUCUACUUGCAUGUAUUAGGCACGCCGCCAGCGUGU
rnacentral:rRNA from 1 species